rnacentral:misc_RNA from 1 species
GAUGGAAGAACGCAGCGAAAUGCGAUAACUAAUGUGAAUUGCAGAAUUCAGUGAAUCAUCGAGUCUUUGAACGCACAUUGCGCCCCCUGGUAUUCCGGGGGGCAUGCCUGUCCGAGCGUCAUUGCUGCCCUCAAGCACGGCUUGUGUGUUGGGCUCCGUCCCCCCGGGGACGGGCCCGAAAGGCAGCGGCGGCACCGAGUCCGGUCCUCGAGCGUAUGGGGCUUUGUCACCCGCUCUGUAGGCCCGGCCGGCGCCAGCCGACAACCCAUCAUCCUUUUCAGGUUGACCUCGGAUCAGGUAGGGAUACCCGCUGAACUUAAGCAUAUCAAUAAGCGGAGGA